rnacentral:sRNA from 2 species
UGGUGAUCCGCACGCAGCCCUGCGGCUUGAGACAUGCCUCAACUUGCAACCGAGAAGGGGUCGAACGGACAUCAGGAUGAAAUGGAGCCGGUUGAUAAUUACACCACCUGCCGGCUAAUUACACCACUGUUAAAAUGACUAUUUUUUUUUUUUACAAGGAAUAGUGUAUACACAGCCUUACAUACAGAGUAACUAGCAUUCCAAAUCUGUUGGAAUGUGGUUCUGUAUUCGAAUACGAUACCAUCAAGAUCAAGCUGGUUAAUCAGCUUGUAUUAUUUAUUUUGAUAUAACGCUCAGUGAGCUCCGGGAUAUUGCUGCUACAGACCUCAGAUACGGAUAUUACAGAUGAAUUAUCUUUGCUUUUCUUCAACUCUCAAACUGCUCAAACUUUUUUCGAAUCGCUGUUCUGAAGAAAACAUUGACGCUUCAUCCUCUGCAAGUUCCUGUAAUGAUAGAUUUCAUGAUCAGCACUGGCC